GAUGAAGAACGUAGCGAAAUGCGAUAAUUAAUGUGAAUUGCAGAAUUCCGUGAAUAAUCGAGUCUUUGAACGCACAUUGCGCCUCAUGGCAUUCCGUGAGGCAUGCCCAUCUCAGCGUUAGAAAAUAUUCUCAAAUUUUAGUUUUGUGCUAAAAUUUGGAUCAUGUCAAGGAAGCUAUUACUAUUAUUGUGAUCGCUCUUUGGAAAUUGAUAGGUCUUUGAGUUGCUACUCAUAGAACGUGAUGAAUCUUUCUUCGUUCUAUUGUAAUUCACUCUGGUAGUCCUAAAACUUGUAUGCCUGUGGCAUAUCUUGUAAUUUGACCUGAGAUUGGGUAGGGAUACCCGCUGAACUUAAGCAUAUCAAUAAGCGGAGGA
rnacentral:misc_RNA from 1 species